AUUUUCAGCGAUGGAUGUCUUGGCUCGCGCAACGAUGAAGGACGCAGUGAAAUGCGAAACGCAAUGUGAAUUGCAGAAUUCAGGGAGUCAUCAGAUUUCUGAACGCAAAUGGCACCUU
rnacentral:rRNA from 1 species